GCCUCGAGUAAGACCCGUCUAUCCCCGCAAAAAAAAAAAAGACUAAGACCCGUCUAAUUAUUAGCAACCGGGUUUAAAGUUGACAGCAAUCGAUGUUAUUGCUAUCCUCUUGUUGCAGCCAACUACUACUAGUUUGUGCUGCAUUAAUUCUACUCCAGUAGUCUGGUCUGUUGGAGGUGCAGCCGUCACUUUUCGGUCUCUGUUUUGAUCGCUUGCUGUUUGGACAGGAAAAGUGACUGAAGCUGAAAGCCUGAAGCACCUAGACCUAGCUAGGUCAACCCGUUUCGAGAUGUACUACAUGGUACUGCAGCUGGAUGACACGUGGGACCAUACCUUGAGGAGGACCACAGGGCAGCGGCUCUGUGCGGGCUCAUGGUCAGUCGUGUCCGUGCAUACCAUAGGUCCUCUGCUCCCUACGAUUAUUUCUACCAAGCUUGGAGAUGCCCAGAUCCAGAUGUGCAGUCAGUGAGAAAGAGAGAGGUAACUGUGGAGUCGAUCUCGCAGCGGCGGCUCCGCCUGUCGGGCUCCUCCCAGGGCUCGUUCAUCCUGCCGGCCACCGGCAACCUGCUCGCCGGUGAGUAUGUGCAGCGGCCCGAAGAGGCGCCUGCGCUUGCAGGGGAAGGCGCCGGAUCUCGCAGGGCAGAUGAGGCCGGUGUGUGCAUCUCAAUUCUUAACUGCAAACUCUUGGUUAUAUCGGCGGCAGAUUUCCGGUGCUAAUUUGGUCUAUUCGCUACUCCUAGGGUCUGCUCUAGGCGAGUCUAUGUGUUGACAGAUAGCUAGUACGCGCUUCAGUACCGACCUCUAUUUAUGAAGAAACAUAUAUUAGAUCCAUCUUGAUUUGUUUGCCAACUGAACGGUGCAAAAACUUCAUAGUACAUAGGUCAGUCUGGGAUGAAUUCACAAUUGUUUGUGGACUUAAAAGAGAUUCUAGCGCGAAACAAACAAAUGAAGUGGAUAUUGUUAUUUAGCUGUUACCAUCCGCUUUUUUUAGUGCUGGUUUGGUGUGUGCAUCUUAGUGCAAAUCAUUGGUGAUUCAAUGUAGAUUUACAUUGUUUGGUAUGAGCUGUUUUUUCCCUAGACUUUGCUCAUUUUUGCCUUGAUAACUAGCUCAUUAUCAUUGAUGUUUUCUCUUUACGAAGAAUGGAGUAUAUGCAUGUUGACUUGCCUGCCAACUGAUCAUUGCAAACUUCACAUGCAUAGGUACUUGGGCAUGGGAUGAGAAUCACAAUUGUUGUGGAUUUACAAGAUGAUAGUGCAGAUGGAGAAUAUCUUGUUAUUUGGCUGUUACUAUCCAUAAUUUUAUCUCUCGGCAACGAAUAUAUUAGAUCAAGCAUCAUAUCAUGUACACGAUAGGAUUUUGAUCUUCUCGUCAUUGAUGCCUACCGGUUGGAUCAUGCUUUUGUUUAUGAGCUGAUUGAAGUAACUCUCUCCUAGCUCAAAUGGGCCAACUUCUUGUUUACAUGAUACACUCAGCUAUCCAUCUCCAUAUCAGUUGGUCUCUCUUAAUUUUGUAAUCUUUUGGAAAUAUGCUUGCAUAUAAUAAAUGAUGCAAAGGUAUAUCAUACAACAACACAAUCUUUUGUCUUCGGCAAGUUAGGGUAGACUAGAGAUAGAACACAAUAUGUGUCACAUACAUCGCAGCAACAGGAAUUAACAAAGAAAUGGUAAAUUAAGCUCUUGACUUGUAGAUUAUGUUAAGUGAUGAUCUAGAGUCAACCUUCUUUUACUACAUUAGUUCUGAUCUACCUUGUCAUCUAUAGGAUUAGUUAUUAUAUCUAAGUAUGUUUUCAGAAUAUUAGAGGAUUAAGCAAGGUCACUUGAUAUGUAAAUGGAUAGUUGGAUGAUUUGUUUAUCAUGAAAAACAAGAGAUUAGCCCACUUGAGCUCGGUGAUAGUGUUACUCAAUGAGAUCAUAAAUAGAAGCAUGAUUGACUGAUAGACAUCAAUGUUGUUGAAGGCAUGGAAAAAUCUUAUCGUAUACAUGAUAUGAUGAUUGUUCCCAUAUGUUUUUGCCAAGUGAAGAAAACCACUUGCAUGGCAUGCUGAAGAUCAUCCAUCCGAAAGAGCGCGGCAGACAUGACCACCACCACCACCAACAACAACAACAACAAGGUCCAAGUAGGCUCUCUUGCAAUAUCCAUGUGCUAUUGUCGUUCCAGUGUCGCUUAUGUUGAACGCUCGUCUUCUACAUGUGUUAGAUUUAGAAAUAUUGCCUGAAUGCUUCCAUUCUUGCCAACUUAGGCAGUGACACUCAAGAAGACAGGAACACUUUGCCAUGGUGUUUGAUUCUUCUUCUGUGGCAACAUGAAGCUCUCAUUGUAAUUGUACCCACUUAUGCCGGAAUACUGUUAUCACUUCCGUCAGAUUCAAGUACCAGUGUACCACCAAGUUUCUGUGGCGUCCCCUGAAUUUUGCUAAUGACGAACUUUCUUCCCCAUUUCUUUCUUUUGUAAGGAAAAGUUAUAUACUUGUGAUGUAUGACUAGCUGGUCAAUUUGCCUGCUUUGAUUAUCCAUUCUGUUUCUUUGUUC